GGACUACCAGGGUUUCUAAUCCCGUUUGCUCCCCUGGCUUUCGCGCCUCAGCGUCAGUGGAGGGCCAGCGGACCGCUUUCGCCACCGGCGUUCCUUCCGAUAUCAACGCAUUUCACCGCUCCACCGGAAGUUCCGUCCGCCCCUACCUCCCUCGAGCCGCACAGUAUCAGAGGCACUUUUCCGGUUAAGCCGAAAGAUUUCACCCCUGACUUGUGCGGCCGCCUACGCGCCCUUUAAGCCCAGUGAUUCCGAACAACGUUCGCACGGUUCGUCUUACCGCGGCUGCUGGCAC
rnacentral:rRNA from 3 species